UGCAAGUCGUACGCUUCUUUUUCCACCGGAGCUUGCUCCACCGGAAAAAGAGGAGUGGCGAACGGGUGAGUAACACGUGGGUAACCUGCCCAUCAGAAGGGGAUAACACUUGGAAACAGGUGCUAAUACCGUAUAACAAUCGAAACCGCAUGGUUUUGAUUUGAAAGGCGCUUUCGGGUGUCGCUGAUGGAUGGACCCGCGGUGCAUUAGCUAGUUGGUGAGGUAACGGCUCACCAAGGCCACGAUGCAUAGCCGACCUGAGAGGGUGAUCGGCCACAUUGGGACUGAGACACGGCCCAAACUCCUACGGGAGGCAGCAGUAGGGAAUCUUCGGCAAUGGACGAAAGUCUGACCGAGCAACGCCGCGUGAGUGAAGAAGGUUUUCGGAUCGUAAAACUCUGUUGUUAGAGAAGAACAAGGAUGAGAGUAACUGUUCAUCCCUUGACGGUAUCUAACCAGAAAGCCACGGCUAACUACGUGCCAGCACC
rnacentral:rRNA from 1 species